AAAAAGACCCAAAUAAGAUUAAUUUUACAAGCACAUCUUGAAGACCACUAUGCUGCUCCACAACCAGCAUCGUAGUCAUCAAAGCGAGGCCCAACGCUCGUCGGACGUCAACCACAAGUCAUCCAACGUUCCUAGACAUUAUAUCCACCCCUCCACACCAAAGUCGUGAGAACAAAUGUCUUCGUUGCUGAAAAUGCUCCAUAAACCAAUAUCUGCCAUGUGAUGAAAAAUAUGUCACAUUAUAAAAUAUUAUAGCCAGUACGUUAAACUAGAAUUAACUUAGUACUCCCUUUGUUCCUCUUUUUAGAGAUUUGAAUAUGAAUUACUCCCUUCACUCAUUUUGCUCCGAAUGUAGUCUAUAUUAAAAAUUUCUAAAAAGACUUAUAUUUAGGAACAAAGGGAGUACACGUAAUGAAGUCAUAUAUUUUUUUCACUCCCGCAAUGCAAAGUAGUGCAACAAAAUCAAUCAUGCUAUGAAAACAUUCUGAAUUUCCUAUGAUGCAAUCUCAUGUGCUACGAAAUAUAAAGUAUGUGAAACUCAGAGAAAGUAUAAAAAGUCAAGGGGAGAACUUCUGUACCCACUAUAAGAAUAAAUAACAUAAGUAAUACUUUUAUUCCGGUAACAAAGGCAAACAUCAAAACAAAAAGGAAACAAACCCUUUUUCAUCUUAAUAAGGUUAAUAUGCUACAGGAGAAUAAUAAUAUCAUGGGUACUUUCCAACAACAAAGAGGAUACUACCUUCUCAUACAACAGAGAGGAUACUUGUUUCUUUUGUAUUAACAAGACAACAAUGGAAGCAUAAUUAAAGGCCACAUCUAUUCAAGCAAACAUAUAGUUACUUGAAAGGAAAUUAAAAUCCAAGUAACAAUAAUACCAUAACAAUAUAAACAAAAUAUACACUUACAGUUCUAAGAUGCUGAUGAUAGAAGUACAAUUUUUAGGUUUGCUCUCAAGUACUACAUAUACAGAUCUGUAAAAUAAUUCCAUUCUAGCAAGAUAAAGUGGCAGCUGAAUUUGUAUCUAACAAGCUCAACUUCCAAAUUAACUCCCAAAGGAUGAGUACCAACACAACAUGAAGACCAGUGCAUGUUAGAAAAAAAAUAGCUACAUCAUAUUAUGUGGAUUAGCAUUAGCUUGCCCCGAUUAAAUAACGUGUAAUAGUGCAAGAGAAUCAGACCCGCAAAACCAUCUGUAAAUAAUCAAACUCACAUCUCAGAAACUGAAUCCACCUCUAAACUGAACCAAAACAUGAUUUGUAUUCGGAUUGCAAGUGUCAUCCAGAUUUGGGGGUAAAGUCGAGAGAUGGGAGAAGCUCACCACGCUAGGAGGGAAGGAAGACGCAACCAUUGGUGAGCUUGUCCACGCGAGAUAGGACACAGGGGCCAAGCGGGUGCUGGACUUGCUGCUCCAUCUCCUCCGGCGAAGAGAGCUCGUCGGGGAUGGCCGCUUCGAGGAGGGCGUCCUGUACACCG
rnacentral:lncRNA from 1 species